UUGCUGGUGCUGGUCGAGUCUUUAUUACUAAAAUCUCAUUAAAAUGCCAUGUUCUACUGCGAUUAGAUGAAAAAUCGAGGGCCCGCUUUUCUUAUUGUGUGAUGAUAAGAUUUACCAUCAUAACAGCUGGCGCUUUUGAAGAGGACCUUUUAAUGAACGAUUUAGAUAACUACAAAUAACAAAACUUAACAAUUGUUGAUGAAUUAAGUAAUGAAAUAUUGUACGAAUCUGGAGAAAUAUUGCACUAUUUUCAAGAAUUGCUCAAAAACACUGCUCUCAGCAGCUGUACACGCUUCUCUGUUUGUAUAGCUUGUCUGAAUGCAGAUGGUCGUGAAGAAAUCUCCAAAGAAAAAAUUUCUCAGGGGUUUAGAUCUGGCGAUUGCACAGGCCAAUGGGGCGGUGCAAACUUUCCAUUCCAACAUUGCGGAAAAAUACUGGUUCAAAUAAACAACAUUUAUGCAAGCUGUAUGGCUGGAGAUUUGGUCCUGGAUGUAAAAGACCUGCUGCAGAUGCCGCACCCUUCGAGUCCCAGGAAGUAUUUGCUGAGCUAGCAUAUUAUCCUACUUCUGAGCAUUCAAUCCGGAUUCGAUGAAAAAAGGUGCAAUGACAUGAUGUCCUAGAAACCCCAGUCAUACACUGACAAUUGCACGCCAUUGAUAACGAAGGUCAUGGACCACGUGAGGGUUGUGUAAUGCUCAAAUUUGAUCGUUCUGACGAUUAUAACUUCCCUUAAGACCAAAUGAACGUCAGUAAAACAAAUGUUCCUCAAAAACUCUCCAUCAGCCUAGAUUCUCUCAAGCGUUCCUUCGUAAAACUCUAUAUGUGAGAAGUAGUCCUCAGGCUUCAAUUUUUUGUCAUGAUGCUUUUUGAAAUUCUUCUAUUUCAUCUGUUUAAGAUCCCUAGAAAACGUCGUGCCCACCUGAUUUUAUGUAAUUUUUAUCACCUUUGAAAAUAAAUGUAACUUUAUUUUGCGAAA